GACGCAGCUUCCGAAAGUCACCCAUCUUGGUCAAAAUAUCUUUUAUUUGUUCCGGGUCCAUAAUAAACACUCUCGGUCUUGGGCCAAACCACAUAAAAGAAUUCUUACCAUACUUCUCCAGAGUGUGAUGGACGAUGGGGACGACGCGAGGCGAAAUAUCAUCAGAGAAAUUUAUGGGUUUAGAAUUUGCUUGCUUUGACAUCAUGGAGCUUUCCUUCAAGUCUCCGAAGAAAAUUCGAUAGGGAUUGCCUGCAAAUCCUUGCUCCCUCAGCCGCCUCUCCAGGUAUUUCGGCCUCACCCACACCCAAUUCAAAAUUCUCCAGCCCACCGUUACGAUUGUAACGACCACAAGAAUGAAGAUCGCAGCCACUGAUACUUCCAUUUCUCGCAGACACAAGACUUCCAGGUGUUGGAGAAGAGUAGAAAGGAUUGGAGCUUUGGAGGUGUAUUUAUUUAAUUAUCAUUGACUUGUUUCCGAAGGCUUUUUU
rnacentral:lncRNA from 1 species